rfam:Oryza brachyantha chromosome 7, whole genome shotgun sequence.
AAUAAGUUCAUUUUUCAGUUUUUAGAUACAAUGACUCCUCGUCUUAUUUGAAAUUUGUUUGUGAUUACUAUUUUUAUUGUUACUAGAUGAUAAAACAUGAAUAGUACUUUAUGCGUGACUAGGUUUCUAAAUUUUUAUACAAAAUUUUCAAAUAAGACGAAUGGCCAAACUUUGGACACAGAAAUCGAAAAAUGACGUUAUU